rnacentral:lncRNA from 1 species
UCACUAACUGGCUGCUUUUCAUUAUUCUUGACAUCAAUUUGCACUGCCGGCAGCUAAUGAAAAGAGUAAAAAGAAAGAACAGCAAUCUGAACAUGAAGCUUCUGUAAGUUUUCUUGGGUAUACUUUUGUGAAACUGCUGUCACACGGUGUGAUUUCCGGAUGUAAGAAGUUCACUGUUUGUGAUCUUCCAUGAGUUUCAGCCAUUGGCAUCAGUUCAUAAUUUNN